rnacentral:rRNA from 1 species
UACGAAGGGUGCAAGCGUUACUCGGAAUUACUGGGCGUAAAGCGUGCGUAGGUGGUUUGUUAAGUCCGUUGUGAAAGCCCUGGGCUCAACCUGGGAAUGGCAGUGGAUACUGGCAAGCUAGAGUGCGGUAGAGGGUAGUGGAAUUCCCGGUGUAGCAGUGAAAUGCGUAGAGAUCGGGAGGAACACCAGUGGCGGAAGGCGGAGCUGACCUGGACCCAG